AUGAAAGCAACAUGGAACUCUGCUCAAGAAGUGGUUUGGAGAAGGAUUAACUCAAAUUUGUUCUCAAUUCAAUCCAAUUGUUUAGGGGACUGGAAUAAGGCUAUGCAUCAAGGGCCAUGGGAUUUCCGUGGAGUUGCUUUGAUUUUGACCGAGUAUGAUGGAUUCUCAAAUCCGGAGAAAGUAAGUUUGGAUAGGCUGGAAACCGUGUGUCAAAUCCAUAAACUACCAUUUUCACUACUUUUGGCCACAGGCGAGAUAGAGUUUUUUCUUGAAAUUGAGUUCGGACCGAUUACUCAUAGAAAAUGA
rnacentral:rRNA from 1 species